GAAAAUAAGGCCUAUAUCACCCUUAAUACAAGGUGCCAUAGAAAAUUAAGUGUAUCGUCAUGAAGAUCAGCUCCUUUUUCUUGCUCUUUCUAUUCCUGAACGUGAGUUUUGCAACAGAAGAAACUGAAAAUGGCUCACGCAGGAGUGAACGCAGUGCAGGCUGCUUUGAUCAGUGGGGUUCCUACUGUGAACGAUGGGAAGGGAUGUGUCACCAUGGUUACGUGUUAGAGGGGUGCAAAAAGUUUUGUGGCAUUUGUUGAUCAAAGAGCAAUGAACCUACCAUCAAAUCACAGUAUUUUAGAGAACGCAUCAAACCCAAUGAGGUGUCAACAUUAUGCAGUUGAUCGAUGU